rnacentral:tRNA from 1 species
UCCAUGGUGGUUCAGUGGUUAAGACUCUGCGUUCCCAAUGUAGGGGGCCUGGGUUCAAUCCCUGGUUAGGGAA